rfam:Ornithorhynchus anatinus chromosome 5, whole genome shotgun sequence.
AGCGGCGUGGCUCAGUGGCACGAGCCCGCGCUUGGGAGUCGGAGGUCACGGGUUCGAAUCCCGGCUCCGCCA